AUUUUAGGCUGGGUUUCUGUAUAGCACUUUGUGGCAUCGGCUGAUGUUAAAAGGGCUUUAAAAAUACAUUUUAUUGAUUGAUUGAAAUUUGAUUGUGGCCUGUGGAAUGUUGUCACACUCCUCUUCAAUGGCUGUGCGAAGUUGCUGAAUAUUGGCGGGAAUUGGAACAUACUGCCGUACACAUCAAUCCAGAACAUCCCAAACAUGCUCAAUGCAUUGACAUGUCUGCUUAUGGCUGCCCAUACCAUAACCCCACCGCCACCAUGCGGAACUCUGUUCACAUCGAUUACAUCAGCAAACUGCUCACCCACACGACGUCUGCCAUCUGCCCUGUACAGUUGAAACCGGAUUCAUCUGUGAAGAAUACACUUCUCCAGCGUGCCAGUAGCCAUCGAAGGUAUGCAGACAAGGAGGCAUACAAAGGAAGUCAAAGCGGACACCUAAAAAGAAGGCAUCUCAGAGAGCGAGCUGACCAAGGGAUCGAAAAUGUAGAUAUUGCCAGAUGUUCACUGUCCGAGGAACAGGCCGUGGAAGCUAUAUUGCUGGCAAAAGUGUCCAUAACCAGAGAACUCAUCAGAAGGAUGGAGGCCACUGUGUUCUUGGGGACCUUCAAUGCUGCAGAAAUGUUUUGGUAGCCUUCCCCAGAUCUGUGCCUCGACACAAUCCUGUCUCGGACAGUUCCUUCGAGGAUGAUCAAUGGAAACAGGAUGCACCUGAGCAAAAUGUUGAGUCUCAUAGCAAAGGGUCUGAAUAAUUAUGUAAAUGUUUUUAUAAAGUAAAUAUGAAAUGUUCUAAUACUUUUGCAAUAUGUUCUAAAACCCUGUUUUCGCAUUAUCAUUCUGAGGAAUUGUGUGUAGACUGAUGAUGAAAAAUGUGCAUUUAAUCCAUUUUAGAA
rnacentral:lncRNA from 1 species